GGUCGACUGGCCCAGUGGUUAAGGCACUCGCUUUACAGACUUUUAUAUAUGUCCGCGAGGGAUCCCAGGUUCGAUCCCUGGGUCGAUCA